rnacentral:rRNA from 1 species
AUUGAACGCUGGCGGCAGGCCUAACACAUGCAAGUCGAACGAGUGGCGGACGGGUGAGUAAUGUCUGGGAAACUGCCUGAUGGAGGGGGAUAACUACUGGAAACGAUAGCUAAUACCGCAUACCAUCGGAUGUGCCCAGAUGGGAUUAGCUAUUAGGUGGGGUAAAGGCUCACCUAGGCGAAGAUCCCUAGCUGGUCUGAGAGGAUGACCAGCCACACUGGAACUGAGACACGGUCCAGACUCCUACGGGAGUCAGGAGUGGGGAAUCUUGCACAAUGGGCGCAAGUCUGAUGCAGCCAUGCCGCGUGUAUGAAGAAGGCCGUCGGGUUGUAAAGUACUUUCAGCGGGGAGGCGUUACCCGCAGAAGAAGCACCGGCUAACUCCGUGCCAGCCGCCGCGGUAAUUC